rnacentral:rRNA from 1 species
CGUGGGCGGGUGCUACACAUGCAGUCGAGCGAAAGGCCUGAACUUCGGUUUAGGCUGGAAGCGGCGAACGGGUGAGUAGCGCGUGGGUGAUCUGCCCCGAAGCGGGGGACAACCCUUCGAAAGGAGGGCUAAUACCGCAUGAGCCGGUGCGCGUAAAGCGCAUCGGGAAAGGCCUUCGGGCCGCUUUGGGAGGAGCCCGCGUCCGAUUAGCUGGUUGGUGAGGUAACGGCUCACCAAGGCUGCGAUCGGUAGCCGGUCUGAGAGGACGGACGGCCACACUGGGACUGAGGCACGGCCCAGACUCCUACGGGAGGCAGCAGUGGGGAAUUUUGCGCAAUGGGGGAAACCCUGACGCAGCAACGCCGCGUGGAGGAUGAAGGUUUUCGGAUCGUAAACUCCUGUCCGGAGGGAAGAAGAAAGUGACGGUACCUCUGGAGGAAGCCCCGGCUAACUCCGUGCCAGCAGCCGCGGUAAUACGGGGGGGGCGAGCGUUGUUCGGAAUUACUGGGCGUAAAGGGCGCGCAGGCGGCUUCGGAAGUCCUGGGUGAAAGCCCCCGGCUCAACCGGGGAAGGUCCUGGGAAACCACGGAGCUGGAGUGCUGGAGAGGGAAGUGGAAUUCCCGGUGUAGCGGUGAAAUGCGUAGACAUCGGGAGGAACAUCGGAGGCGAAGGCGGCUUCCUGGACAGACACUGACGCUGAGGCGCGAAAGCCAGGGGAGCAAACAGGAUUAGAUACCCUGGUAGUCCUGGCUGUAAACGAUGAAUACUGGGUGUGGGGGGGAGAUUAUAUCCCUCCGUGCCGGAGAAAACUCAUUAAGUAUUCCGCCUGGGGAGUACGGCCGCAAGGCUGAAACUCAAAGGAAUUGACGGGGGCCCGCACAAGCGGUGGAGCAUGUGGUUUAAUUCGACGCAACGCGAAGAACCUUACCGGGGUUUGAACUGCGCCGGAGCCGGCAGAGAUGUCGGGUCCCGCCUCGUGCGGGUCUGCGCAGAGGUGCUGCAUGGCUGUCGUCAGCUCGUGUCGUGAGAUGUUGGGUUAAGUCCCGCACGAGCGCAACCUUGUCGGUAGUUGCCAUCGGGUCAAGCUGGCACUCUACCGAGACUGUCGGCGAAAGCCGGAGGAAGGUGGGGGAUUAACGUUCUAGUC